UAUAAUUUUAUUCAAUUUAUAUUAUUUAACGUUCAUAUAAUUUGUAUUUUUUUUAUAAUCUCAAAUCAAAAUGAUCUUUCAUAAGCAGAGUUUAAUUUCUAUCGCAUUUAUAGUUAUUGCAAUUUGUGCCAUGCAAGUUUAUUCAGCUAUUGACAGACACGAUAGAGAAUUACUAAAAAUUCAUUGUAUAGGUCUACUAGAAAGUUAUGCUGGAUUUCAAGGUAUACAAGCUGAUAAACGACGAGAUUUUAAUG